AGGGUUCGAUUCUGGCUCAGGAUGAACGCUAGCUACAGGCUUAACACAUGCAAGUCGAGGGGCAGCAUGACGAUAGCUUGCUAUGUGAUGGCGACCGGCGCACGGGUGAGUAACGCGUAUCCAACCUUCCCUAUAGUAGAGGAUAGCCCGGCGAAAGUCGGAUUAAUACUCUAUGUUUUCCAAUGAGGACAUCUAAAAUGGAACAAAGGUUUACCGCUAUAGGAUGGGGAUGCGUCUGAUUAGGUUGUUGGCGGGGUAACGGCCCACCAAGCCUACGAUCAGUAGGGGUUCUGAGAGGAAGGUCCCCCACAUUGGAACUGAGACACGGUCCAAACUCCUACGGGAGGCAGCAGUGAGGAAUAUUGGUCAAUGGGCGAGAGCCCGAACCAGCCAAGUAGCCGUGCAGGAUGACGGCCCUAUGGGUUGUAAACUGCUUUUAUAUAGGGAUAAAGUGACCCACGUGUGGGUUUUUGUAGGUACUAUAUGAAUAAGGACCGGCUAAUUCCGUGCCAGCCGCUGC
rnacentral:rRNA from 1 species